GCUGGGUGUGGUGUUGCAUGCCUGUAAUCCCAGCGACUUGGGAGGCUGAGGCAGGAGGAUCGGAAGCUCAAAGCCAGCCUCAG
rnacentral:sRNA from 1 species